rnacentral:misc_RNA from 1 species
AUAGGCCAGCACCGAAGAAAUAACACAGCCAAGCAGAACCGCCGCCCAUGGCGGGAUUCCGAAAUGCGCGGGACCGAUAGCAACGGCAUAAGCGCCAAUCCCGAAAAAUCCGGCGUGGCCGAGGCUGACCUGCCCAGCCGAUCNCAGGCCGAUGGCCGCAAGCGCCGACACCCACACCAGCGACGCCACACGGAAAUAGUAGCUCGACGGAAAAAUCAGCGGCAGCACCGCGACGACGAGCGCGAGGGCGAUCAGGAUCAGAUAGCGAUAACCGAUCUUCUGCAGCACCGCUCAGACCCUUUCCACGGUCCGCCGGCCGAACAGGCCUUGCGGCAUGGC